rnacentral:lncRNA from 1 species
UCCUAUAGAAACAGUCAAGCAGACAAAAGAAACAAGAGAAAUUUGGACUUGGGUGAUGAACCAACUAGCAAAUGUUAAAAAUAACAAAGAUAACAUUGUUAGUUGCAGCCUCAUGGAAAAGGCGUAAAUCAAGCUUGAUAGCACCAAUAAAAAAAAAAGAGCGUAACAAUUCACAAAUGAUUUUGCAUACAAAAUAAUUUUUCAAGGCUAUUCUUCACUUUGGAAAGAAGAGAAUGAGAAAUUCCAAAAUAAAUUUUCAAGGCUAUUCUUCACUUUGGAAAGAAGAGAAUGAGAAAUUCCCACUCUACUGCCAUGCCAUAUUAAUUAGAUACAUUACAUUCAGAUCCACAUGUACACAUUUAAUAAUUCAAGAGAACUGAACAAUCCUUUUGUUAAAAAAUAAACAGCAAAAU